rnacentral:lncRNA from 1 species
CCAGAAUGCAUAGUUACCACCCUUUGAUAACUUGAAAGGGAGUAACGUAGCAGCAUUGAUGGAGAUAAGCCUUGUAGGAGAAGUACUAUAAGUCCCUGCAGAAAUAGUAAUUGGAAUAUCAGAAUAAGAUAAGGAAGACAUCCCAGACAUUUUUUUUCUCUUUUUUUCAUUUUUUUUGCUUUUUUUUUUUUUUUUGAAGAGUGAUCUUUACAGAAAAGGAGGAGGGAGGGAGAAGGCUUGAGGGAUCUCUUGCUUGUGGGAAGAGCAAGAGUAGAUUACUGCCGCUGAGGAAGAGGUUGCAGCGAUGCUCGAGG